rnacentral:rRNA from 1 species
UGGGGAAUAUUGGACAAUGGGCGCAAGCCUGAUCCAGCCAUGCCGCGUGAGUGAUGAAGGUCCUAGGGUUGUAAAGCUCUUUCAACGGUGAUGAUAAUGACGGUAACCGUAGAAGAAGCCCCGGCUAACUUCGUGCCAGCAGCCGCGGUAAUACGAAGGGGGCUAGCGUUGUUCGGAAUUACUGGGCGUAAAGCGCACGUAGGCGGAUCGGUCAGUUAGGGGUGAAAUCCCAGGGCUCAACCCUGGAACUGCCUUUAAUACUGCCGAUCUGGAGUCCGGAAGAGGUGAGUGGAAUUCCGAGUGUAGAGGUGAAAUUCGUAGAUAUUCGGAGGAACACCAGUGGCGAAGGCGGCUCACUGGUCCGGUACUGACGCUGAGGUGCGAAAGCGUGGGGAGCAAACA